rnacentral:rRNA from 1 species
UACAGAGGGGGCUAGCGUUAUUCGGAAUUAUUGGGCGUAAAGGGCGCGUAGGCGGCCUUGCGUGUCCUUCGUGAAAUCCCUCGGCUUAACUGAGGACGUGCGGAAGAAACUGCAGGGCUCGAGUCCGGGAGAGGGGGGUGGAAUUCCCAGUGUAGCGGUGAAAUGCGUAGAUAUUGGGAGGAACACCGGUGGCGAAGGCGGCCCCCUGGACCGGUACUGACGCUGAGGUGCGAAAGCGUGGGGAGCAAACGGG